GAUGAACGCUGGCGGCGUGCCUAAUACAUGCAAGUCGAGCGAACGGACGAGGAGCUUGCUCCUCUGACGUUAGCGGCGGACGGGUGAGUAACACGUGGAUAACCUACCUAUAAGACUGGGAUAACUUCGGGAAACCGGAGCUAAUACCGGAUAAUAUAUUGAACCGCAUGGUUCAAUAGUGAAAGACGGUUUUGCUGUCACUUAUAGAUGGAUCCGCGCCGCAUUAGCUAGUUGGUAAGGUAACGGCUUACCAAGGCAACGAUGCGUAGCCGACCUGAGAGGGUGAUCGGUCACACUGGAACUGAGACACGGUCCAGACUCCUACGGGAGGCAGCAGUAGGGAAUCUUCCGCAAAGGGCGAAAGCCUGACGGAGCAACGCCGCGUGAGUGAUGAAGGUCUUCGGAUCGUAAAACUCUGUUAUUAGGGAAGAACAAAUGUGUAAGUAACUAUGCACGUCUUGACGGUACCUAAUCAGAAAGCCACGGCUAACUACGUG
rnacentral:rRNA from 1 species